CAGGUGGGGAUGCAGGUGUUCCAAGUAGUGAGACCCACACCAGCCAAGCUUGCUAGAACUUUCUGCUGCCCCAGAUUGGAGUUCAACUCCAGCUGAGGCAAGUGAUGCAAGGGCCGGCUACGAGGGUGCCCCUCUGUGGAUACCCCUAGAACCUGUGGCCCUCACCCCACACUCCUUUCCUACCACCACCGAAAAAAAAAAAAAGCCUAAUUCCAUUUUCUCCACCAGACCAUGUUAGCUGAGGGCAGGCAGGACUUGGGCCCCUGGAGCCAGCCGGUGGGGGUCACUUUGUCUGCAGAGAGCAGCAGCACUCCACCCCCAAUCCUAAAGAGAAAGGAAGAAAACCCUGCCUUCUCCCAGCCUCUUCCCAUUCCUGUUCCUGCAGCCAGCCGGGCCUGAACACAGCCGAGGCUGUAGCUGGUGGGGUGGGAAAGGGCAGGCAGGGGGACCUGGAAGCCCCUUGGCCACGCUGGGGCCCAGAGCAGCCCAGAGGGAGGCUGGGGUCGGAAGAGCAGAGGCUGACCUCUUGCCGGGACCAGGCGCACAUUUCCUGGGAGGGGGUUGGCCAGAGAUGGAAGGCUCCCAGUGACCUGGCAGGUCGGUGAGCAGCAAGGCAUCUGAAGAAUUGGCCCUGCCAGCAAAACCAUUCUGGAGUGGAUCAGAUCAGAUCUUGGCAGCCCUGGCAUGCUGACUUCUCCCCCCACCCCCUCCAGGUUCUCCAGCUAGAAGCGACCACAGCCCAACGCCUGGCCUGGGCAGAAUUGCUUUGCUGGCCCUUCCAGCCUGUCUGCAGCUGGAGGUCUCCACUGAUUCCAAAAGGACUCAAACCGCUUAGCAGAUGCACCUGCGCUCACCAACUGCUGGUCCCUGGAGUCCUCUAGUCUCCCCAAGGGAAAAGCCAGAGGGCUAAUCUUGCAGUACUAAGUAAUCAAGGGUGGAAGUGAAGGCGUGUUCAGAAAGGAUGGCGUGUCCGGGGCUCUAAAAGGAAAGAGUGUGCCUUCCAGAGGGAAGCCCUGCUGGGGAACUCAGGUAACUG